AUUGAACGCUGGCGGCAGGCCUAACACAUGCAAGUCGAACGAGUGGCAGACGGGUGAGUAAUGUCUGGGACACUGCCUGAUGGAGGGGGAUAACUACUGGAAACGGUAGCUAAUACCGCAUACCAUCGGAUGUGCCCAGCUGGGCUUAGCUGGUAGGUGGGGUAAAGGGGCACCUAGGCGACGAUCCCUAGCUGGUCUGCGAGGAUGACGAGCGACACUGGAACUGAGACACGGGACAGACGCCUACGGGAGGCAGCAGUGGGGAAUAUUGCAGAAUGGGCGCAAGCCUGGUGAAGCCAUGCCGGGUGUAUGAAGAAGGCCUUCGGGUUGUAAAGUACUUUCAGCGGGGAGGCGUUACCCGCAGAAGAAGCACCGGCUAACUCCGUGCCAGCCGCCGCGGUAAUAC
rnacentral:rRNA from 1 species